UUGAAGAGUUUGAUCAUGGCUCAGAUUGAACGCUGGCGGCAGGCCUAACACAUGCAAUCGAACGGUAACAGGAAGCAGCUUGGCUGCUUUGCUGACGAGUGGCGGACGGGUGAGUAAUGUCUGGGAAACUGCCUGAUGGAGGGGGAUAACUACUGGAAACGGUGGCUAAUACCGCAUAACGUCGCAAGACCAAAGAGGGGGACCUUCGGGCCUCUUGCCAUCAGAUGUGCCCAGAUGGGAUUAGCUUGUUGGUGAGGUAACGGCUCACCAAGGCGACGAUCCCUAGCUGGUCUGAGAGGAUGACCAGCCACACUGGAACUGAGACACGGUCCAGACUCCUACGGGAGGCAGCAGUGGGGAAUAUUGCACAAUGGGCGCAAGCCUGAUGCAGCCAUGCCGCGUGUAUGAAGAAGGCCUUCGGGUUGUAAAGUACUUUCAGCGGGGAGGAAGGUGUUGUGGUUAAUAACCGCAGCAAUUGACGUUACCCGCAGAAGAAGCACCGGCUAACUCCGUGCAGCAGCCGCGGUAAUACGGAGGUGCAAGCGUUAAUCGGAAUUACUGGGCGUAAAGCGCACGCAGGCGGUCUGUCAAGUCGGAUGUGAAAUCCCCGGGCUCAACCUGGGAACUGCAUUCGAAACUGGCAGGCUUGAGUCUUGUAGAGGGGGGUAGAAUUCCAGGUGUAGCGGUGAAAUGCGUAGAGAUCUGGAGGAAUACCGGUGGCGAAGGCGGCCCCCUGGACAAAGACUGACGCUCAGGUGCGAAAGCGUGGGGAGCAAACAGGAUUAGAUACCCUGGUAGUCCACGCCGUAAACGAUGUCUACUUGGAGGUUGUGCCCUUGAGGCGUGGCUUCCGGAGCUAACGCGUUAAGUAGACCGCCUGGGGAGUACGGCCGCAAGGUUAAAACUCAAAUGAAUUGACGGGGGCCCGCACAAGCGGUGGAGCAUGUGGUUUAAUUCGAUGCAACGCGAAGAACCUUACCUGGUCUUGACAUCCACAGAAGAAUCCAGAGAUGGAUUUGUGCCUUCGGGAACUGUGAGACAGGUGCUGCAUGGCUGUCGUCAGCUCGUGUUGUGAAAUGUUGGGUUAAGUCCCGCAACGAGCGCAACCCUUAUCCUUUGUUGCCAGCGAUUAGGUCGGGAACUCAAAGGAGACUGCCAGUGAUAAACUGGAGGAAGGUGGGGAUGACGUCAAGUCAUCAUGGCCCUUACGACCAGGGCUACACACGUGCUACAAUGGCGCAUACAAAGAGAAGCGACCUCGCGAGAGCAAGCGGACCUCAUAAAGUGCGUCGUAGUCCGGAUUGGAGUCUGCAACUCGACUCCAUGAAGUCGGAAUCGCUAGUAAUCGUGGAUCAGAAUGCCACGGUGAAUACGUUCCCGGGCCUUGUACACACCGCCCGUCACACCAUGGGAGUGGGUUGCAAAAGAAGUAGGUAGCUUAACCUUCGGGAGGGCGCUUACCACUUUGUGAUUCAUGACUGGGGUGAAGUCGUAACAAGGUAACCGUAGGGGAACCUGCGGUUGGAUCACCUCCUUA
rnacentral:rRNA from 1 species